AGCAUAUUAAAAAUACAAGUUAGAAGCUAUAUAAAAGACCCUGGGGAAUCAGGGUUUGGACAAAGGCUUUUGAAAACAGAACACCAAAAAUACCCCAAAGCAGAGACGGCAUUUGUCUCCCUUCAGGGUAAAUUGCUUGAAAAAACAGAAAGGAUAAGGGGAAGAAAGGGAGAGUAAAAAAGAGUGGAGCAAGAAAAACCCCUACAACACAUAAAAAGCCUAUUGAUAAGUUAAAAAGAAAGGCGUCCUAUUGGCUUUCCAAAUCUGUUCUUAACAAUAGUCUGCUUAUGAAGGGUGAGAUAGCGGCAAGUAAUGCCUUGGGGCACUCCUCAUGUGGAAGAUGGCCACAUCCAGAUAUGGCAACCAGUCUAGAAUUUACAAGUUUCAAAGCCAUGGCUUGAGAGGACUUAAGAGGGACAAGGGCAUCUUCGGCACCUGCAAUGACUAACACUGGCAUCUCUUCCACUGCCUUCAGCAACAAUGCAUGUAUUUGUGGUGAAAGGACAGUCUCACAUGAAAGUUUACCUAUUUCAUGGAGUGCUUCAUCCCAACCUUCCACAUA
rnacentral:misc_RNA from 1 species